AAAGGUGAAAAGAACCCCGGGAGGGGAGUGAAAGAGAACCUGAAACCGUAUGUCUACAAACAGUCGAAGUCUGUAUAUAUAUCAGGACGACGGCGUGCCUAUUGAAGAAUGAACCGACGAGUUACUGUUGCUAGCGAGGUUAAGUGGAAAACAUGGAGCCGCAGCGAAAGCGAGUCUGAACAGGGCGUUCAGUUAGUAAUAGUAGACCCGAAACCGUAGUGAUCUAUCCAUGGCCAGGUUGAAGCACAGGUAAAAUUGUGUGGAGGACCGAACUCGUGAGCGUUGAAAAGCUUUGGGAUGAGUUGUGGAUAGGGGUGAAAUGCCAAUCGAACACGGAGAUAGCUGGUUCUCCCCGAAAUAGCUUUAGGGCUAGCCUCGAGGUUGAGAGUAUAGGCGGUAGAGCACUGAUCGGGCUAGGGGCCAUACCGGUUACCGAACCUAGUCAAACUACGAAUGGCUAUACUUAUACUCGGGAGUCAGACAGUGAAUGAUAAGGUCCAUUGUCAAGAGGGAAACAGCCCAGAACACCGACUAAGGUCCCAAAUGUUACACUAAGUGGCGAAGGAUGUGGAGUUUCCAAAACAACCAGGAUGUUGGCUUAGAAGCAGCCACCAUUUAAAGAGUGCGUAAUAGCUCACUGGUCGAGAGACUCUGCGCCGAAGAUGUCCGGGGCUAAAGUGUAAAACCGAAGUCGUGUCAUAUGCAGCAAUGUAUAUGGGUAGGGGAGCGUUCUCAUCGGGCUGAAGCAGUACCGUAAGGAGUUGUGGACUGAUGAGAAGUGAGAAUGUCGGUAUGAGUAGCGAAAAGAAUGGUGAGAAUCCAUUCCACCGAAAGCCUAAGGGUUCCUGAGCAACGAUCGUCGUCUCAGGGUAAGUCGGGACCUAAGCCGAGGCGGAAAAGCGUAGGCGAUGGACAACAGGUUGAAAUUCCUGUACCGGUGUGAAUCGUUUGAUCGAUGGAGUGACACAGUAAGGUAGGUCAGCACGCGAUUGGAAGUGCGUGUUUAAGCAGGUAGGUUGAGCUAUAGGCAAAUCCGUAGCUCUAAAAGCUGAGAUGUGAUGACGAGUUACUAGCGAUAGUAACGAAGUGAUUGAUCCUACACUGUCGAGAAAAGCUUCUAGGUAGAGACACAUCGCCCGUACCAAAACCGACACAGGUAGGCGGGGAGAGAAUCCUAAGGUGCGCGGGAAAACCCUCGUUAAGGAACUCGGCAAAAUGCCUCCGUAACUUCGGGAAAAGGAGGACUCAUGUAGUGUGAAGUGCAGCAACGCAUGGAGCAUGAAUGAGUGGCACAAGAGAGGCGCAAGCGACUGUUUACCACAAACACAGGUGCCUGCUAAAGCGAAAGC
rnacentral:rRNA from 1 species